CAAACAGUCCCUAAUCACUUCCCCGAGUCGCUUAAACCCAGAUUCUUGACCUCUAUCUACAUCGAUCGGAAGGAAAAAAAUUUACAACUUUUCUUCCUCUCGAAGAACAUUGCAGAGAUUCUGCGGCAAGCUUCGGUUUUUCGCCGUCCAAUCGAAUCAAAAUCUCUAUUUUAUCGCCGCUCCUCGCCGUCUGCUCCACCACUCUCCACCGCCGUGUGGCCAGCCAACCCUAGGUUUCGCCCGGAGCAAAUGGAGCUUUUUCCCCGACGCGCAUGGAGAUUUUCCGUGCGUGAGGAGUUUCUCCGGUGGCAUCUGGCUCCAUGGCUUCUAGCCUGUUGCCUCAUCAUUUUGUUCAUGUGAGGAAUAUUACUUCGAAAGAACGAAAAGGAAAGUGGAAGAAGAAGCGGAGACCUCGGACUCCGAUCACAUCAAAAUCAAGAAAAUAAAGAUAAAGGCUUAUUCGUAUGUUCUUGUUCUGUAUAAAGUAUUAUCAUUAGGUUUAGAAAUGGGAAAAUGGUUGUUCAGAUCAUAUAAAGGCAGGUUUAAAACACUGAAUGAUGGUACCAUCCGUCGAUGGAGAGAAGGCAAGCGCCAUAAGGCCCACUUGAAGGUAAGAUCUAAUGAAUAACACUUGUUCAAAGGUAAGAUCUAAUGAUGUUCUUUGAUGUUUCUAUGGUUGAAACUCGAGCAUUUGGUUGUGGUGGUGGGAAUGGCGGAGUUGUCGGUGGUUGAUACAGUCGAAGAGGAGACUGAGACAGCCGGUGUACCGGCGGCUUAUGCCAAAGCCAUGAAGAAACUCAACGUCUGCUCUUGAGACGGGGAAGCAUGAAUCUUUUCUCUUCCUGUUUAUGUUUCACGUUGAGGUUAUAGAAGUUUCUUCUUCUUCUUCUUCAAAGGUGGAUUAGUAGAAUUGUUCAGAGACACAAAUGGUUAAAUAAGGACAUCAUCAGCUAUAUUUUUUGUUAA